rnacentral:lncRNA from 1 species
UUUUCCUUUUUUUUUUAAUAAAAUACUAUCAUGUUCAUAUCUAUACAAAUAAUUAUUACAACUAUUAAACAAAGUAUUACAUUUAACAAUAGAAAUCUCCGAACUCUGAACAAGAUCAUGGUUUGGGAUAUUUACACCUGAAUGCAACACAUUUGUAAAAAGCUGUCAAAAUAAACAGAACAAGAUCUUAUUUACAAUAGGAAGGUGAUGUUCCUGUUCAUUCAUUAUAGAUUUCUACUGCAGAGUUCCUUUUUGCCAUUACAAAAUAGUAAGGACUUUCCAUGGGGCUGUAUCCAAGCACUUUACAGCUGUAUAAAACAGAAGCACAGCAGAAAACUCUGGACUGAAUAUAAAUAAUUCAUUGUGGAGGGCAACAGCAUCUUUGAUUAAUCUCCUGUGGCAAAAUCCAUCUUUGCUUCCCUUCUCACAGUGAGCAGGCAGGAACAGGGCUAUGACCCACUGCGAGCUUGGUUGUUUCAUGUUGGUGAUUGCCAAAACCAGCAGCACAUAUUGCAAACUUUGAAACCUGCUGGUAAAAAUAGUUCUGCUGAGACAGAAAGAAAUGCCUUUUUUUAAAUUUUAUUUUACAUUUAUCUCCUAAAAACUGGUAUCAGUGGAUAAAAAAAUGGCUUCUGUGUAACUAAAAGCAGGGCUUGUUCACAGAGAGAAGACAGUUUUGUAUUGCCGUGACCAAAAACCUCUGCUGAAUCUUUCACUGGUUCACAGAAUAACUUGCUUUUAGUGUGACCAGAGGGAAGAAAGUGUUGGUGCUCUGAGGUUUUCCAUUUACUCUAGGGACUGCAAAGGCAAACACCCUCACAAGCAAACCUGUGUCUGCACUGGCACUCCUAUCCUUGGGGCUGCUCCUUGUGCUGGAUCAGUGGCAGCGGGAGAAGGGAACAGCAGCAGUAGGUAACUUGUGUUACAUGACAAUACAGAAUGGAGCUCCUUAUGUCACUGUAUGAGAAAACAACACAAAUGUGACCAAUUUCGUAUAAAUAGAUUCAAUGCUGCUCUGCCUUUCCAGUCCAAAUGAGAGCGUUAUAAAGUGAUGAGCAUGGAACUUAUUUGGGGACUAAUGAAAGAUCAUGGCUCUCAGCACAGCUGACUACACUCAAGUCAUCCAGAAACAGCAGGAGUUUGUGGCCAAGUCCUCGAGCCAAGGCUGCACAAGUACCUCUGGAUAAGGUGAAAAGACAACAGGAAAUCUGAGAUGAGGAAACAACCCCUUUCCUCCAGCAAUGCCUCUGCAGUUGCCCUGCCACACGACUGAUUUCCUGCAACAGCAGCAGUCACCAACCACAGCAGCAGCACAGCUUUAAAGUGCAGUAGGAAAUGUGUCCAACAUGCAUUCAGGAGGCUCUGCACUAGCACAGCGUGAGUUUAUUUAUCAGGGGUGCUCUUCCACCUGGGCAGCAGCAUAGUGACUGGAGCUGGGAGCAGGAAACAUGCCAGUCAGGCUCAGCCACCGGCUCAAAUCAGUUCUUAGAAUCCUUACCUGUCCUUAACUGAGGUCCUUUCUCUCACUGAAAGGGUAGAUAACGUUAACACAUCACUUUUCUAUUGCCUGCUUGCAACUCAGUCUGACUCUGCUCUUACUCUCCCAGGCUACUUAUGGGAUUAAUCAAGGGCUACACUGGCAUACAUGCAAUCCAGCAAAUAACUUUGCUAUUGUCCGUUAAAGUCACUUAGGCCAAGCUGAAAGCCACAGCUAUGCCACGAUGGUGGCAGUCUCACUCUAGAGGUAGCGCUCUCCCUUCUGCUGCUGAUUUUGCUUAAUUAAGCAGUACUGGGUAUUUUUACUUCUUCAAAGUUAAAACAAACCCCCACUUAGUGUAAGUAACCAUCUAAAAGGUAUUAUGGAAGAGAAAAUGCCAUUCCUGGGCUAACAAGUUGCAACUAAACCCACAAGAUCUUUUCCAAAUAUACCUUGAGAAACAAAGGGACUGUUAAUUGCCAGGUUGGCAUCACAGAUGUUUGCUGAAGAAAAUGUAUUUGUAUGGUGACAGUUUGACAAACAAACUUCACCGCUUCUCCUGGCAUAGAUGAAGGGAAGGUGAACCUUCCUUAACAUCAUAACAACCCGAUACUGAAACACAACAGCUUCAGGGGUAGGGGAAAGGAAAAAGAAAAGAAAACUAAAAAGAAAGAAAAGAAAGAAUAGUUUCCACUCAAUGGUAAAGAUGUUGCCAUCGUUCUUCUUCCUGAGAGCAAGAGGCCAAAGCUCUGGGAAAGGGCCAGGAGAUGGAAGCUGAAACACAGACCUGUCAGUGGCACAAUCUGACCUACAAAGUAAAUGCAAGACGCCUGGUCAGUGUGAAACAGGAGUGAUUAGUUUAUGGUAAAGAGGAAAACCAAAACAAUUUCAUAAUGAAAAAAUAACCAAAAUUACUUAACAUCAGAUUUCC